ensembl:snRNA U6 U6 spliceosomal RNA
ACAUUAAAAUAAUGUAAAAAAAUAAAUGGAAUGAUACAGAGAAGAUUAGCACGGUACCUUUGCAAAGAGGACACACAAAUUCAUGAAGUGUUCCAUGUUGUU